rfam:Pteropus alecto contig96981, whole genome shotgun sequence.
GGUUCCACAGUGUAGCAUUUAGCACAUCUGCUUUACACUCAGAAGGUCCUGGGUUCAUGCCACAGUGGAGCCA